CCUACGGGAGGCAGCAGUGGGGGAUAUUGCACAAUGGGGGGAACCCUGAUGCAGCGACGCCGCGUGGGUGAAGGAGUGCUUCGGCAUGUAAAGCCCUAUCGGCAGGGAAGAAGCAAGACGGUACCUGACUAAGAAGCGCCGGCUAACUACGUGCCAGCAGCCGCGGUAAUCCGUAGGGGGCGAGCGUUAUCCGGAUUCACUGGGUGUAAAGGGAGCGUAGACGGGCAUGCAAGCCAGGGGUGAAAGCCCGGGGCCCAACCCCGGGACUGCCGUUGAAACUGGAUGGCUGGAGUGGGAGAGGGGCAGGCGGAAUGCGUGGUGUAGCGGUGAAAUGCGUAGAUAUCAGGAGGAACACCGGCGGCGAAGGCGGCCUGCUGGACUGCGACUGACGUUGAGGCUCGAAAGCGUGGGGAGCGAACAGGAUUAGAUACCCGGGUAGUC
rnacentral:rRNA from 1 species